rnacentral:snRNA from 1 species
GUCUGUUCGGAGAUAUCUGAUAAAAAUAAAAUAAUUCAAAGAAUAUUAGCAUGGCACUUGCUCAAGGAUGAAAUACACACAUUAAAAUAUGGUUAAAAAAAUU